UUGGACGUGGUGUACGAAACACGACGGGUUCAUCUAGUUCUUUGGGAAAAUGCAUAGAUAACCCCGUAGAACGGGGUUCGACUCCCCGCGUCCGAA